UGGUUCCUGUGUUGUUAGAAACGGAGGAGAACAUCAAGAAAUGGGACUUGAGAAGAACUGUUGGUGCAGCUGGGUGGUGGAAGGUUUCCUAGCUUCCAAAAACAUCUUUACUUUUAAUGUGUGGUGUUUGCUUACAACAGGGUCAGCUUUUGUGAGUACAUCUGGCACCACCAGAGAGAGAGAUGGCAGCAGAUGUGAGGAAGCAGAGCAGCUCUUUGAUUGCACUCCAGCUGUGCAAGUGGGGUCUUAAGUGAAGUGCUACAUUCAGUUCCCAGCUGAGAAGAAGGCUGCUGGAAGAAAUACCUGCCUGUUUCCAAAUUGUUGUGCAUUGGCUGAAAGUAGGAGCAAAGCAGAAUGAGCUGCAGUGGAUCGCGGCACUAACAAGUUUGGAUUUCUGCAUGGCGCUAGGUGUAUUGGAAGUAAAAUGUGUGAACUCCCUGGAAAGAAGAAUGAUGUCUUUUCAUUAUAAAGCAAACGAAUUACAUCUGUGGGAAGGUCAGAGCACUGUGUGGCCUGGGCAAUGAAGGCAGUGGCUGUGGAAGCCACCGCUGCUCCCAGGUACAAGCUGGGACAUGGGAGGAUGCAGCUCAUGGUAUACAGACUACUGACCUGGCAUUUAGGAUGCUGUAUAAUCCUGGAAGCUUUCUGUGUUUGGCUUUCCGGAGCGGAGCAUGGAGAAGAUGGGAAAGAUGAGUGCUCUCUUCACCAGGUUGGUAAGUCAUACUUUUCUGGAGCUGGUUACUUGAUAUCCUUACCACAAGUCACUUCCAUCUCAGCAAAAAGGAAGGUCUAGUUGGCUGGCUGUGAAUGACAUUGGUCAUGCUCUAUCCAAGACCUUUCUAGCCAGGAAAAAGAGGAGUCAGCAUAUUCUGGUGAGUACUGGAGCUGUGAAUCAGAGCAGUUUGUGUCAGCUGAAGAACUGACCUGCAUCUCUGCUUUGUAAUUUGGAAAGCUGUGUUGGAAAAUAGAUUUCCUUUGUGGUGUAUUGUGGUCACUCAUCAUUUCCUAUGUGUCCUUUCAAUCCCAGGGCAUUUCCUGUCUUGGGUACUGUAUUAAAACAGCCUCACCUGCUGGUUCAUUCCCCUGUACUGACACAUUUUCUAAUUGACCACGACAUGACAGACAGUUGAACCCUUUGCUACCUUAUUUGCUGUGAAAGGUUACUGAGUUGAGUGAAAUGUGUUUAGAAAGUAAGACAUUUGGCCUGGGGUUUAACCUUCAGAGUGCUGAGAGCCAGAGAAUUUGACUUCAGCUAUUGAGUGUACCCACAAAGCUGACAAGGAGAGAACUCUGCAUGCGCCUGAGUGAGAGGACAAUGUUCUGUGUUAUCAGGGGGGCCAAGGCUUUCCUACAAGAGCUCUGAGCCUCUUUGCAAUUGCUGACAGAGGCAGAGCUGUGUUUUUGCUCGGGGCUUUUCACACCUUGUCUUUGCAUAUGGAGACUUGGGUUUUACAUCCUUUGAACAGUUACCUCUGUCAGCAGCUUGUGUUUUGUGGCUCAGGCAAGUUUGAAGGUUUGCUUUUUGAUAUUUUCCUUUCUCCUGUUUUGCCAGUCCCAGUUUGAAAGAUGCACACUGUUACCAGGAGAACCAGGGAUGUGUCAGCAGAGCAAUUUACAGGUGGUCAAAUUUAGGGUUUUUGGAACAAAUGCGCCAUUGAACUGAAACAUUGCAUAGCCAAUGCACGGUGAUUUUUUCUGAUGAGAUCUGCAAGGGGGGAACAGACUGGGAACUGCUGAAGACAUCAGAAAUUCCCUUGUGGGCCAGCACACGUAGCAGCUUAGCUGUGUGUUUUCAUGUAGAGUGGGUUGGAUGGGUCCUCAGUCUAUGUGAGAUGGCCCUUGUGUAGCCACGGGGCUGAGUUUUGUUCUCUAGAGAAAGUGUUUGUGUUGAACUGCUUUAAACUUUUCCCCUAUGCUGUAUAUCCUGUAUACAUUCAGCACGUUAUUCAAAGGCAGUACAGAGCUUAUAAUAUCAAAAUACAUUUGCAAUCUAUUUGUUAUUUUCUAAUUUUUAAUCUCUUUCAAGGGUAACUAUACCUACCAAGAAGACCUUUCCUUCUAUAUACAACACUGUAUUUAAAACUACUCAAAAUAUUCUUCUUUUGCACUUGUCUUUAAAUACUUUCAGGCCAAGUAAACCUUGCUGCAAGAAUAUGCUGACUGCAUGCAGGAGUUUGACCCUGUGUGUCGAAGUAAGCAAAUUCAAUUACGUUUGCUUCUCUUGCACUGUGUUGAGUAGAACAAGAAGAGUUUCAUGGUAACAUCACCAAUAAAACAAAGGAAACAAAAUCCUUUGAAAAGAACCAGCUUGGUCAGCUCGUUCUUUCUUCCCCCGGUGAUGAAAGAAAGAAAUAGUUUUUUUUUGGAGACAGAACACAGCAUUUUUACAAAGGAAGCCUGUUUCAGGGUCUGGGGUGUUAUACUGGGAUGGAAAUUGAUCUUGGUUGAGUCUUCAGACUCAGUUCUUUGCACUCAGGUGGUCUUGGUUUUCAGGGUUUUCAGACUUUUCUCUUCUCUUUUGGGGCCAUUGUGAGGUAAAAAGGACCACACUGCUCUUCAGUGAUUGCAGACAUCUUCAAGCUUGCAGGAAAACCCUGGAGAGACAAGAGGGUGCUCUCUCAAUGGGAGCCAGUGGACAUAACAGGAACUGUUGUGUACACAUUAGAACAGAGAAUGAUUCAAGUCAGACAUGUGGAAGUUGCAGCUCUUGCCACAUAUUACACACCGAGACCAAGUUCUGAUCCUCUUAAGAUAUGAAACAUCUUUUACAAUUCCUCUAGUUAAAGCUGCUGAUCAGGGUCUUGAGGUACAAGAGGCAAAAUCUUCAACAAACAUCUGAUGUGAGAACACCAUUGCUGUUCCAUUUUGGAGCGUGCUUGGGGUGUCUCGUGAGUAAGCAGCGGGUCUGUCAGAAAAAUUCUCAGGAUAAUUUGGGUUGAUUCAAUUUCUCAUUAAAUUUGCAGAUGCAUUCCAGUGAUCUGAAGCACGAGAUGAGGUGAGAGCUGUGUGUUUAGGCAUGGGAGAGUGCUAAAUAGGGAUGAGAGUAGAAGUGGGUAUUGCAGCAUUUAAAAGCAUUCAAGUAUGUGACAUUAGCUUGGGUAGCAAAUAUCACAGUUAAUUACCCAGAGGUCCUAUGUACCUACGAAGUCUGGGGUUGUUUUAUGCGUUUACCUGUGUUGAUGCCUGGUGGUUUAUAGGAAAAAUAUUGCUCAUUUUAUUCAUACCCAGAAGUAAGAAGGCAGCACUCAUUUCUGGGAGGUAUAGUCAUGACUGUUCUUCCUGAACCAUUUCUGGAUUUCAUACUUUCUCG